UUAAAAUUUCAGGUAGUUCUGUCAAAUAGUGUACAAGCUAUAAAUUUUGAAACAAUGGCUGCUCCGUCAACGCCAACGUGUGUUACCGAUCUAACUACGCUUUCUACCUCUAUGCAGUCGGAACUGACCCAGCAAAACAGAAAUAUGCCUAACACACUCACUGUGACAUCCGUCGUACGAUUUUACAGUGUCAGUGCUGAUGUGACUGAUGCUCAUUUAGCUGACUUUUGUUCUCAAUGUGGUCCAGUCUAUCACAUUGAGAGACUAACGUCUAAAGAAGGAAAAAAGACUGUAUUCGUCGAGCUCACUGUGAAACGUGCCGUUGCGGAGUCAUUCGUGAAGAGAUUUGAAAAAGGCUGCCGAAUCAACCACAUAAAUUGCGUUAUACAAAUGUCAAGUUGUAAUACCAUAUUCAGGAAAACUGAGAAGGCUAAGGAAAAACAUUUUAAUUACAUGUUAUGUAAUUAAUUAAAAUUAUUUGUAUAUUUAUAGGCCGAUAUGGUUGCUUACAAAGCGUCCAAGAAGAGUGUCUCAGGGCACUGUGGAGAAGAAAAUGACUCUCUAAGAGUCAAUUUCUGUCUGGUGGAACACUGUGAACACAGACAUUUUUACCUUCAAACACGAAAGAGAUUUGUUUGUGGCUGAAUUGGACAGGAAAAUUAUUGCUUUAAAUAUGUUAGCUUAUCCAAUGUUUCCUCCGACAUUUGAGAAACAUGAGCAUGCUUUGUUACUAUUGAAUCUACUAUUUGAGAAGAUGUCCUUAAACGCAGUACCAAACUCAACUGUCGAAAAUGAA